rnacentral:rRNA from 1 species
UACGGAGGGGGCUAGCGUUGCUCGGAAUCACUGGGCGUAAAGGGUGCGUAGGCGGGUCUUUAAGUCAGGGGUGAAAUCCUGGAGCUCAACUCCAGAACUGCCUUUGAUACUGAGGAUCUUGAGUUCGGGAGAGGUGAGUGGAACUGCGAGUGUAGAGGUGAAAUUCGUAGAUAUUCGCAAGAACACCAGUGGCGAAGGCGGCUCACUGGCCCGAUACUGACGCUGAGGCACGAAAGCGUGGGGAGCAAAACAGG